GCCUUCCUCCCACUUGGCCACGCCUCUCUUCCCCCCCCCCCCCCCCGUGUUCCCCUUGAGACGGCCAUCCCCAUCAGCCCCCACCUCCCUGCCCUCAGAUCCUUCUUGUCCAUUCCUGCUUAUCUGCCCCUGACUGGGGAGACCUCAGGUCCUUGUGUCCUCUAGCCAAAGCCUGUUCAUCUUUCUCUGACCAUAAUAUGCCUUUGCUUCUCUUUCACUGGGAUUAGAACCAAGGAUUUGUGGCCCAGAUAAUAACGAUGAUCCCUGUCAUAAAUGUCACAGGAAACACCGGAAUGAGAGAGCCAUAUAGUAACCAUGGUGGCCUCUGGUGUCUGGGCAAUUGAGCAUGGACUGCAAUGAGAAAGAGACUGAAGGGCAAACUGCUGUUCAGGAAGGUGCUAGCUGUUUGGCCUUGGGGAACUAAUUCAGCCUCUGCAAGCCUGAUGAUUCAUUCAAUAACGUUAAUGACUAUGGAACUAUGUUCCAGAAACGGUUCUGGUUGCUGCAGUCUAGCUGUGCACAAUUCACACGCAGUCUCCAUGCUCAUGGAGUUCCUAGAGGGGUAAGGCAGAUAAUAAACAUCCAAGAAAGAUAUAGAAUCUGAUGUUUAUAUGUGCACACGUAUACGCAAACGCAUAUAUGAGAUCCCAGGCUGCAGUUAAAGGCUCUGAAGAGAAUGUAAGGAGGCGUGUAGAGGCCGGAGUGUGGGAGGCUUUGCCAUCUUACAUUGUUCAUGGAGGUCCCACUGAGGAGGUGAUGUUGAAGUGGAGAUCAGAAGGAAUGAGAGCGCCUGCUCUUUGAAGGCCUGGGGGAGAGAAUUCUAACCCAAAAGGAUGGCAGUGCCAAGGCCUCCGGGCAGGAGUGGGCUGUGGAUCUGAGGAGCAGCCAGAGGGAAGGCCGGGAUGGCAGGAGCCAAGUAGGGGGAGUGACAGGAGAUGAAGGCAGAAAGGGGACAGUGGGCCAGAUGUUACAUGAGCCUGGGAGGCAGAGGUCAAGGCUUUGGUGGCUAAGAAUAGUGGCAAGAGGGCAUGGGGGAUGUAUCUUGAAGGCAGAGCCAAUGUGAUUUGCUCAUAUACUGACUGUGAAGUGU
rnacentral:lncRNA from 1 species